rnacentral:snRNA from 1 species
GGAUGUGAAGGGGAUCUGGCUGCAACAUCUGUCGCCCAAUUGAAUGCCAGGGUUGAUUUGGCUGAUCUGGCUGACUAAGCGGGUGUACCCUUCCUCCCUCAAUGCUCCACGUGUGUCCCUCCUGAAGCUGUGCACUCAGUCGAAGAGGAUGACCUUUCCCGACAGAGGAGGACUGGUCUUCGGUCAAGGGUAUACAAGUAGCUGCACUCCCCUGCUAGAACCUCCAAACAAGCUCUCAAAGAAAGACUAGGAUAGCUGCAGUGGUGUUGUCCUGAAAGGCUGGGAAGAACAGAGAGUGUUUCCUGAGAUGAGUCACUUC